AGUUAAAUAUGUGGGGUGCUUGUCAGGAUGGCAAUUGACAUUUAAUUUAUGUGGCAGUACUGUAGUUGUGUUACUCCCUUAGAACCUGGGAAAAUGGACUUUGGAACACGUUUCACAGGACUGGAAAGAGGAGGAGUGCCAAGUAAACAUUACUUUUUGAGUUUGAACUCACUAAUGCUGUUGAUCCAGGGGUUUCCUAUUACAAAGACAAUCCUGAACCUCUGGGUGAGAGGGGAAAAAUGAAUAUUAUAGUAUGUAUCCUACUCUGUCUUCCAUAAAUAUCUGCUGGGUUGCCUUUUAAAUUGAAGUUUUCUGAUGAGAAUACAUGGGAAAAAAAUUCCAUUUUCUGGGAAGACUUGAAUUUUUACCUUGUAACUCCUGAUGGUUCAUUUCUGAGAGGAAGAGAAGGAGAGACUGGGAAAUGGAAGAAAGUGACCUCUGGUUCUCUAUUGAAUGGGCUGAGAAUUUAAAAUGGCACAAAAGUGUGUGUGUCUCAAUUUCCUUUAUAUGUUUAAAAGACUGUAGGGUAGAAAUUUGGUCCAUUUUAAUCUUUAUUUUUAGGGUAGAAUUGAAGCAAGUAAUCCCAGCAGGAGCCUCCCUGUUUGAACACAGAGAUGUUAUGCAGGGACAUGUAGAAAUCUAUGUUGGGCAAUUCUGAGCUUUGAUUCAAGUUUGAGGUGACUAAUUGUGAACUACUUUCACCUUGUCAUGAGGAAUAGAAAUGGGGAGAAGAUUGGUUAUGAAAGGUUUUUUUUCAUUUCCUCUUUUCUUUCUCACUUUGGCUUCAAUCUAAAUGAUGUAGUUGAGUGCACCCGUUAUUGAGAAAGGAUCAAAUAUUGCAUUCUGAUAAUAAAAGUAGAGUUGAGCCUGUGAUAGAAAUCCUAGCUGAUAUAAAAGAAGAUUUCUGAGUGUGGCUUUGUGGAGGAAAAAAAGAAAAGAAGUUUUUACGCUUUUGGGAGUCUCAGAGAUAGGCAGCAGGGAAUAAAUUGUGAUGAUUGUUUCAGUCUGGAUUUCUGUCAGGAGAAAAAGCAGUCUGAGACACUGAGGAGUAAGGCAGAGAGAAGCUCAGGUAUGCAGUUGGGUUUGGUCCUUCCUAAGCAAAGAAAGAAGCCAAUAUGUGUUAUUUGGAUUGCAGUGCAGCAUGAGAGUGGAGGAGAUUACAUGUGUGUACAGGCUUUCUGGUUUUAUGAAAAAUUCUCUAACAUUUCUUCCUCAUUUCAGCAGAUCAGUAUUACAAAAGCUGAUGGUCAGAGGUUCCCGAAAGCAGCUGGCACAGAGGUAAUGUCAGAGGGGCAGGGAGUGAUGUUCACCCUUGGAUGGAAUUGUGCUUCUGGACGUGUGUGGAAAGGGCCUGGGAAGCAGCAGAGCUGCAAUCAGCUCCACAGCCUAGAUAUGGAUAUUAACAAGAGGAACAGUAAAGACUCAGAAGCUCAGAAACCUUCUUAAAGGGGCAGUACACAAAUAAAUGAGAUUUGAGCACUUUAAGUAAUAUAAACAUUGCAGCCAGAGGAGAAGAGAAGCAAGAAAGCAGGAGAGCUGAUGUUUCACACCAAAGUCCUGAAUUCUUCAAGAAUGUUAAAGAAACACCAUAAUUUUUCCCAUCUCUGCAAGAGCUGAAUAUUUCUUAUU